rnacentral:lncRNA from 1 species
UUGAAGUCUUAUUGUUCAAAGUCAGGAUUUGUAUUGGUGAUUUGGGCUUUAUAUAAUAUAAUUAAGUCUAGUAAUUUUGGCUAGUUUGUGCAAUUGAUAUAACAUCUACGGUUGCAAAUUUGAGACUUUUUGGAUUUUUGGAUGUGCUAAGUAUAUACAAAAUUUUAUAAUGAUCUAACAGUGUAGUUUAGAGAUAUCUGGUUUUUAGCAAAAGAGAGUUUGAAAAGUUGGUAGUUUGAGGUUGAAUAG